CUUUUUCUUUCACUUUUCCAUCUCCUUCUCUGGGUCUCUCCUCGAGAAACACUUACCCUCUCUCACUACCAUUUCCUCCCUCCCCCGAGCACACCCACACACCAUCGUGGUUUAACCUCCGGCGAACCACUAAAGCACCUAUAUCCUUCUUGCUCAUUUCAAACGCUCUCGGAGUUGAUACUGUGCUCAAUGGACAGAUGCAGCAAAGGCUGCCAUCAUUGCCAUACUUCCCAGUGAAAGUUCAUAACUUUCUCGAUCAAGUUUAGUGGCUGAGAUUUCGUGUUAACGAGAAUUCUUGGCAAACUUUGGUUUAGGUGAUUACCUUCGAUGGUAUAAUUCUCAUCCUAUUUUCCUAUACUUUACUUAUGCUCCGACAUCACGUGUGAAAUAGGUUCAUUCCCGCUCAUAAGCACGCUCUUAUAUUUAAGCUCUUUUAGGUUUUAAAUUUAUUCACAUUUUCCACAUCACUACACUUUGUGGUUUCGUCACCCUCCUGUUGUUAGCCAGCGCAGCUCGAUUCGGAGUCCAAGUGGACAUCCCGGGUCGAGGUGUGUCAAUAUCGAAAUAUAUUGUAUAACAAAAAUUAAUUUAAAUGUUUACAACAAAAUAUAUUACGAUGAAUGAAAUAAAAAUUAUAAUUAUAAUGAAAUAUAAUUAAUACAUUAAAAUUAGGAAGAAAAAGAGAAAGAAUUAAACCAUCAAAAUAUAAUUAAAUAAAAUGGGGUGAUUAAUGUAUCAAAUGAUUAAAAUUAGAUUUUAAUCUUACUCAUGGUUUUAGUCUAAAAGUCAUCUUUGCCAAGGAUUAGAAUGAAGUUUCCUAAAAUUACAAUAACAAAAUAUAUUUUACUUAAAUUAUAACGCAUAUUUUUUCAUAUAUGUUAAAAAGUGUGAUAUUCAAUCAUGUCACUUAUUUAUAUUACAUUAUAGAAAAUGAUAUAUCACGUAUCAAAUAUGUCAAACUCAUUAAAAUUACUCUACGUAUCUCAAUCGAAAAUGUUUAAUUAACUCGAUCAAUAUACAAGUAGGGAGUUAAGUAUUUGGGUCCUAGUCUUAAGCUAGCUCUUCUUAUAAUGAUGGAAAAUCAUUCCUCAUAUAAAAUUAAGUUCUAAUCUUUCCGUGCCCACUUCCAAAUCUUUUCAAGAUGCCAAAAAAUCAUGUUGGAGGAUCGAAUUGGUCCCAAGAAGAGUAUUAGACGACGGUAAAAACCCGUCAUCCAGUAUAGUCCCAAACUGUCGCUCCAAGGACAACCGGAUAACAAUUUUGUAGGUUUAUUAUAAAGAGUAAUGCUAGGUAGACUAAAUUUUUUAAACUAAAUGAUGUGGUUGUAGACGAUUGAGUUAUUAAUUAAAUGUCAAUAAACGUGCUUGUUUCUAAUUGGUGACAUGUCAUUGGUUCGCAAUUUGGUUUAAAAAAAAUUUGCCUCCCUAGCAUUACUCUCUUAUAAACCCCCAUCCCAAAAGCAACCAGAUGACGUUUUUGCGUAAAAUCGUCGUCCCAUCAACUAAUAUCAACAAAAAGUAGGUUUUCUGUAAGGGUAAGGCUGGGGAGACCAAAUUCUUAAGCUAUAUUUUGUAAACCAAAUAAUGUGAUUGUUGAUGAUUGGAUACUAUUACUUAAGUGUUGAUUAACGUACUUAUUUUUUACUAGUGACA